GUGAGUCAUCGAAUCUUUGAACGCAUAUUGCACUUUUUGGUAUUCCGAAAAGUAUGCCUGUUUGAGGGUCAUUGAAUUAAUCGGUACAGUAUUCUCUGUUUAUUCCAGGGGUAGUGUAUCGGAAAGAUGAGCAUUUCGUAAUAUUUUAUUAUGAUUGCUAGAAAUUGAAGCAGUGGUCUCGGCCUAAUAUAGAGACGCGUUUACGGUGGCUUGCCUCCUAUUUUUCGCAACUUUUUGGUCGAAUUCCAUGGUGGUUUGAGCUUUUCCUUCUGAGGGAAAAGCACAUACAAUUUUUUAAUC
rnacentral:misc_RNA from 1 species